GUGCCGCUAGCUCAAUUGGCAGAGCUCCUGACUCUUAAUCAGGCUGUUCGGGGUUCGAGUCCCCGGCGGCGCA
rnacentral:tRNA from 1 species